CCCUUCUCGCGCCGGAGCGGGGCCCCCGUCAGGGCACGGCCCGGGCACACCCACGUGGCCUCGGGGGAGGCCGCUACGGUACGGGCCCCCCCAGUUGUACACCCCCCCCCCCACUGCAGGGGGUUCCAGCUUGCAAGGGGGUGCUUUGGGAGGUGCAUUUGGGCACAGGCCCCCACAAGCCCUGCCCCACACGCUGGGGGCAGGGGCAGUGGGUCGGGACGGGCCAUCGAUGGGUCCAAAAAGGUUGAGAACGACGGGGGUAGUUCAUGCUCAGUGCCCCUCGGACGCUGUGCUGGUAGGUGCCCCACGCCAGUAUACCCAGUACAUAGGUGGAGUUGCGUUUGCCCCAAACCCAUCUCCACAGGAGCGGUGUGAGGAAGAACUAACACUGCGCUCUUGAUGCGGACCAAGCCGUCUUUAGGAGCGAUAAAAGAAAACCACCCUCCAGCACCCAAACAAGGUGGUAAAGGCACGUUUCGGUCGUCUGAAGGGGCUUCUCUCAGCAGCAGCGGGCAAUCAUCUUUUCGUAUAAGCGCGUGCUGGAGUAGGCCCCGCGCUAAAACACGGCUCGCUAAUCGGCGUUGCAAGGUGUAUUAUGAGAUCUUAAUGUUUAAGUUUGGUGAACUUCAAUUGAGUUACACUGGAACUAAAGAAACAACUCCUCCACCAUUCUGCUAUUUCUUGCAUUCCCUCCAAGUCACUGACAUACUACAGUCCUAUCAGAAGCACAAGAUGCAUAUUACCUUGCUCAUCUAAAGCUCAUCAAAACCAAAGCUGGGAGAAAACAACAUUCUUGGUGCUGUCUGGUGGCAAGUGUUGUGCUACACCUAUUGAAACACACCUCUUUCCAUCUCAUAUAGAGAACAGCAACUCAAGCUGACCUAAUUUUAUCACUAGUGAGUGGGAGAAAAAAAAGUGAGUCCGUUUCUUGUCCACAGCAUAUUUGUACGUUCUCAAGCUCUUGCACUUGCUUUAUACUGUCCUAUUUACUUGAUCGAAGAACUCUAGGGUGCAUUACUUUAUUAGUAAUUUCAGAAAUCUGGCUAGAUAUCUGUAACUAAUCAUGGACUAAAUGUUCUGUAUUCCUAACUAUGCCAGUUGCCUGAGGCUAGAAGUUGCCAUCUUGUUACUGAUGAUAAGUUAUAGGACUUAACUGGCAUUCUCACUCAUUCAGUACCAAAGGACUUACUUUUAUAUAGCUUAAAAAAUGGGCGACUGACUCGUGAUUUGCUGUUCUGCCAUCUACGGUUUUACUAUGAACGGUUCAUUGUUGCGACUGUGACAUCAGAGACCGAAGAGCCAAUCAUAUGCUACUUCAUAAUGUAUUUGCAUACUGCAGUCCUAUUGGUUUAUGUGGCUUAGUUACUGCAUCUUUUACAUUACAAACCAAGGCUCCAGUUAUUCAACUGCUAGCACACCGGCUGACUUACACAUAUACAAAGCCAAAAGGGCUCUGCCUAGGCAUAACAGGCUUCCUCCACUUCACCCUGGUUCAGUAAGAUACAAUUUACAUACCGCCUUCUAAUUUAGAUGUCUUUUGCUGCUUAUACAAAUAUGUCAUAACCACGUAACGCCCACGCUGGACUCCUGCAAUCUAGUAGGGUGUGUUGCAGGACAAACCUGAGGCCUCAGUGCUCCAGAAGUCAGCAUUUGUGAACAGUUUUAUUUUUUAAUAAAAUACUGUAGCUAAGUUAAUACUCGAGGUCU
rnacentral:lncRNA from 1 species